CGCUGCGCUGGUGGGCCGGACCCGAUAAUGCAGGUGUCCCCAAGGCCUUGGACCUGCACACGGGGUGAGGUCACAGCAGGGCUGGGAGGGGGCAGAGGCGUGGGCGUUGGCUGGUGGGGGCCUGGCCGAGGAAGACAGGGGAAGCGAGUGGGCAGGUCAUCACAAGAUACUGAAGACAGCUCCCUGUGCAAAGUGGAUCAGUCCUGAUGGGGACCUCUCCUCCUCGGGUGUGGCGCUCCAGGCCCCCCCAGGAUCUCCUGGACAUGCUCUGUGCCCCCAGCCACGGGAGACGCCAGCCUCUCCUCGACUCCCCCAACUUUCAGCUGCAGAAGUUGCUUUAGGGCUGUGUCAGCUUCUGAAGGGAAGAGCAGCCCCAGGCCUGACCUCGCCACUCUUAUCUGCUGCCUCCUGCUGCUUCUUGGACACAUAAAUCCUCGCAGGCACGCCGAGCCUCC